rnacentral:rRNA from 1 species
CCUACGGGUGGCAGCAGUGGGGAAUAUUGCACAAUGGGGGAAACCCUGAUGCAGCGACGCCGCGUGAGUGAAGAAGUAAUUCGUUAUGUAAAGCUCUAUCAGCCGGGAAGAAAAUGACGGUACCUGAGUAAGAAGCCCCGGCUAACUACGUGCCAGCAGCCGCGGGAAUACGUAGGGGGCAAGCGUUAUCCGGAUUUACUGGGCGUAAAGGGGGCGUAGACGGCAGUGCAAGUCUGGAGUGAAAGGCUGGGGCUCAAACCCCGGACUGCUCUGGAAACUGUACGGCUGGAGUGCAGGAGAGGUAAGUGGAAUGCCCAGUGUAGCGGUGAAAUGCUUAGAUAUUAGGAGGAACACCAGUGGCGAAGGCGGCUUACCGGACUGGAACUGACGUUGAGGCUCGAAAGCGUGGGGAGCAAACAGGAUUAGAUACCCGUGUAGUC